AUUUUGUUUCAUCCAUUAUCCUUUAAAAAAAAAAAAAAAAAACCGUGCACCCGCAUCAGAUUUUCCCCUCCUUCCAUUUCAUUUUUGCGUCUUGCAACCAACGGAGACUCUCACUCGACUGGACUAGAUUUGAAACCCUCACUUCUCUUUUCCUCUCAGUCUGCCCUCUUCUUCCAUCACCCUUCCCCUUCUCGUCGUCGGUGUGUGCACGGAGGAGCCAGGCUCGUCACCGUCGGAGGUCGUGGUCAACGUUCGCGGCUCUUCCUCGUCCUUCCCUGCUUUAAGCUGGCGAUCUCUUCUUCUUACCCCUUCGUUCGCGUAGCUGCUGUCAUUUUCACCUCUUCGUCCUUCUCCUUCAGUCGCCUAUAUGUGUGCUACUGUACGUGUGGGUCAAACGAGGAAUUUGAGUGUGCCUUAAUGGAAGAUGGAGGUGGAGUAGAACAUUGGGUAAGCAAAUUAUUUUUCUUAUAUUUUCUUCUGGUUGUUUUAAAGAGAGAGAGAGAGCGACUUAAGUUAUGAUAAUCGAAAAAUGGUUGCCUAGAAAUUUCAAGGUUUAAGUUUAUUUAUUUGUUUUAGCUAAUGGGAUGCAUAUCAAGUGUUUGAGGUAAUGCCUGAAAGAAGAAAUAAAGAGAAAUUGAUUGUGUCGAGAAGAUGAACAUAUAGGAGGUAGUGCAGGAUGAACACCUACAAAUGUUUGAAUGGUUAGGAGAUAUUUUUCUUUUAGUUGGUUGCUAAGCACUAAAAGUAAGGUUACUCGAUAUCUUUUACCAAUGGAGAGAAUUACAAGCUAAAAGUUGUAAUUGUAAGUUAGGGAUUGGAUUUAUUGAAGAUGAUUUUCCCUUUUUUUAUGUGAUUUUCUUUGAUGCUUGAAAGUUGUUGGGAGGCAUACCUGUUCUAGAGCUGCUUGUAUGAGUGGGUGUAUGAAAUUGCUUGAAAGAAACUAAAAUUUUAUGGAAGUUGGUAGCUAGUUAAAAUAGUUGCAAGGCGAUUAUAUUAUGGCUUUCUUGAAUUGCUCAAUCUCUAUAUUAGCAUCGGGGAGUUUAAAUAUGGAUUCUUAACCUUAAGAGAGAAGCUAGCUAAUAAUUUGGUUAUUUGAAAUUUGAUUUCUGAAGUGGUUGGGAUUUAUGAAUUAUGAACAAUGUGAUUUGUUAAGAUAUAUUAUAGUUGGUUAUAAGUAUUGCAUGUAACUUUUAUUGGAAGAGCAUUAAGAUAAAGAUGGAUAAGAAUGAAGAAAAGUUACAAUGGGAUUGAUAAUAAAACAAAAACGCUUGGAUGGAAAUUUGACAAUAAUUUCUCUUUGGCUACUUAGAUAACCAUUAUGGUGAUUUCUCGUGGGAUUUGCUAAAGGGUAAAUUUUAUUUAUUUGGCAAUGUCUUAGGUAGACUCCUAAGAAGUACUUAUACGGAUAGCCAAAUAGAAAGUUUUCAAUUGCACAUUGUCUCUACGUAAUAUGAUUGAAAAGUCCUAAACCCAUUGUAAUUGUUUUGUAUCUUAGUUAAUUAUGCUCCAUGUAUUUUAUAGUUAGGAUACUCGCCUGGUUAUGUUUCA